CCUACGGGUGGCAGCAGUGAGGAAUAUUGGUCAAUGGACGAGAGUCUGAACCAGCCAAGUAGCGUGAAGGAUGACUGCCCUAUGGGUUGUAAACUUCUUUUAUAUGGGAAUAAAAUGUUCCAAGUGUGGGAUUUUGUAUGUACCAUAUGAAUAAGGAUCGGCUAACUCCGUGCCAGCAGCCGCGGUAAUACGGAGGAUCCGAGCGUUAUCCGGAUUUAUUGGGUUUAAAGGGAGCGUAGGGGGAUUGUUAAGUCAGUUGUGAAAGUUUGCGGCUCAACCGUAAAAGUGCAGUUGAAACUGGCAGUCUUGAGUACAGUAGAGGUGGGCGGAAUUCGUGGUGUAGCGGUGAAAUGCUUAGAUAUCACGAAGAACUCCGAUUGCGAAGGCAGUUCACUGGACUGCAACUGACACUGAGGCUCGAAAGUGUGGGUAUCAAACAGGAUUAGAUACCCCUGUAGUC
rnacentral:rRNA from 1 species